rnacentral:rRNA from 1 species
GAUGAACGCUGGCGGCGUGCCUAAUACAUGCAAGUUGAGCGAAUGGAUUAAGAGCUUGCUCUUAUGAAGUUAGCGGCGGACGGGUGAGUAACACGUGGGUAACCUGCCCAUAAGACUGGGAUAACUCCGGGAAACCGGGGCUAAUACCGGAUAACAUUUUGAACCGCAUGGUUCGAAAUUGAAAGGCGGCUUCGGCUGUCACUUAUGGAUGGACCCGCGUCGCAUUAGCUAGUUGGUGAGGUAACGGCUCACCAAGGCAACGAUGCGUAGCCGACCUGAGAGGGUGAUCGGCCACACUGGGACUGAGACACGGCCCAGACUCCUACGGGAGGCAGCAGUAGGGAAUCUUCCGCAAUGGACGAAAGUCUGACGGAGCAACGCCGCGUGAGUGAUGAAGGCUUUCGGGUCGUAAAACUCUGUUGUUAGGGAAGAACAAGUGCUAGUUGAAUAAGCUGGCACCUUGACGGUACCUAACCAGAAAGCCACGGCUAACUACGUGCCAGCCGCCGCGGUAA